rnacentral:rRNA from 1 species
UACGGGGGGGGCAAGCGUUGUUCGGAAUUACUGGGCGUAAAGGGCGCGUAGGCGGUGCUCUAAGUUAGAUGUGAAAACUCUGGGCUCAACCCAGAGCCUGCAUCUAAAACUGGAGUGCUAGAGUUCUGGAGGGGGUAGCGGAAUUCCUGGUGUAGCGGUGAAAUGCGUAGAUAUCAGGAGGAACACCGGUGGCGAAGGCGGCUACCUGGACAGAAACUGACGCUGAGGCGCGAAAGCUAGGGGAGCAAACGGG